ACUCCCCCUCCCUCCUUUCCCUUCCUCCCUUUCCUCUAGGUGGGCGUGACCGGCAAUGCAGGCGGCGCUGAUGGGUUACACCUGUGCUUCAUCUCCGUGCAAUCAAGCUGAGGAGCCACACCUGGGUUUGACUCGCCACUUCACCUUCUUUGCCAGUACAUAAACCAGCUCCAAACCAUCAGCAGACGCCGGACCGUGAUCAACUGAUAGACUCCACCAGCCAGCGUGUGUGCUCCUCCAACCACCCUCAUCUCCUCCCUCCGUUCCCUGCUGGACUCCCUGUUGACGUCUCCCUGGUUCCCCGUCCUCACCACCGUCCUGCUGCGCCGUCUGCAUUCCGCUCCGCCUACCUUCCCCGCUCCCUCUCCGGUUUCCCUCAGCUAAGUUGUUAGCCGCUAGCUUCGUGUGCUUUAGUGUAGUUUCUUAUCCCUUGUUUCUAUAGUGUAGUUUAUUAUUCCUGGUUAUAGCUUCGUGUGCUUUAGUGUAGCUUCUUGUUCAUAGUGCCUCACUGAGCCUUUUGCUUAGUCGCUUUUUGUUCCCCGUUCUAGCUUAGCUUUCGUUUGUGUGACUUUCUAUAGCCUUUUGUUUGAGUUAGCUUCAUGCCUGCAUUACCACUCGUGUAGUUUUAGUUUCGGUUUCCGAGUGCGUUUUUCGUUACCGUUAGUUUUAGUUUAGCUUUCCGUCUGUGGUUAUACCACCAGCUUGGUUAGUGUUUUUCUUUGCUCUGCUGUAAAAUAAAUUAUCUUAUUUUUUA